rnacentral:lncRNA from 1 species
GUGGAGCCGGCGAGAGAGUGGCAGCGGGGGCUGAUGGAAGUGCAGUGGGGGCUGGAGAGGGCACCCUACUGUAUCCAGCAUGCUCCAAGGCCACAGCUCUGUGUUCCAGGCCUUGCUGGGGACCUUCUUCACCUGGGGGAUGACAGCAGCUGGGGCAGCUCUCGUGUUCGUAUUCUCUAGUGGACAGAGGCGGAUCUUAGAUGGAAGUCUUGGCUUUGCUGCAGGGGAGGCUGGGAGAAAUGAAAGACCCUGAGAUGACCUCCCUGGGAUGGUGACCUCCCAGGGAUAAAGGAGAGAGCCAGAGAGUGCUUGGACCAAGAGCAGAUCCGUCCCCAGCAUCACUCAGGCCUGACUUCCUAGGCCUGACCUUGGAAGUUUUGGGACAGUUGUCUACGAUUUCCAAUGUCAUUAUCCACAGUGUGGGGGAGGAAGUGAUACACAUCACCUUCUCUGUGCCGUGAUGGGAAGUAACAGCCUUUGUCUUGACGCAUGAGCCCACGUGUAUGCUGUUGCUCUGUUGAGCAUCUGGGGUGGUGUGGCUCUGAGGCCUGCCCAGAGCCCUGCAAACAGUCCCUGUCUGUCCCCAUCCCUUUCCCCCUUCCUCCCCACGUUCAUACUCUGACUGCGUGAGUGAGUAUCUGGCGCCCCUGCCUCCCCUCCUACCCUU